UUCGGGACGCUGGCGAGUGGCGAACGGGUGCGUAACGCGUGGAAACCUGCCCCGAGGUGUGGGACAACAGUUGGAAACGAUUGCUAAUACCGCAUAAGCCUUACGAGGGAAAGGCGCAAGUCGCCUUGGGAGGGGUCCGCGUCGGAUUAGCUAGUUGGUGGGGUAAAGGCCUACCAAGGCGAUGAUCCGUAGCUGGUCUGAGAGGAUGAUCAGCCACACUGGGACUGAGACACGGCCCAGACUCCUACGGGAGGCAGCAGUGGGGAAUAUUGCGCAAUGGGAGAAAUCCUGACGCAGCGAUACCGCGUGGGUGAAGAAGGUCUUCGGAUUGUAAAGCCCUUUCAGCAGGAAAGAUGAUGACGGUACCUGCAGAAGAAGCCCCGGCUAACUCCGUGCCAGCAGCCGCGGUAAUACGGAGGGGGCGAGCGUUGUUCGGAAUGACUGGGCGUAAAGGGCGCGUAGGCUGCUCUGCAAG
rnacentral:rRNA from 1 species